GACGAACGCUGGCGGCGUGCCUAAUACAUGCAAGUUGAGCGAUGAAGCUUGGUGCUUGCACCUAUUUGAAGAGCAGCGAACGGGUGAGUAACGCGUGGGGAACCUACCUUUAAGGCGGGGAUAACUUCGGGAAACCAUAGCUAAUACCGAAUAAUAUCUUUAACCACAUGUUUCAAUUUUGAAAGACGCAUUUGCUUUCCCUAAUAGAUAUCUCCGCUCUUGUUUAUCUAGUUGGUGAGGUAAAGGCUCACCAAGGCGGAGAUGCAUACCCGGCCUGAGGGGGGGAUCGGCCACAUUGGGACUUAGACACGGCCCAAACUCCUUCGGGGGGGAGCAGUAGGGAAAGUUCGGCAAUGGGCGGAAGUCUGGACGGGGAACGCCGCGGGAGUGAAGAAGGUUUUCGGAUCGUAAAACUCUGUUGGUAGGGGAGAACGUUAGUGGGAGUGAAAAGCUCAUGAAGUGACGGUAACUACCCAGAAAGGGACGGCUAACUACGUG
rnacentral:rRNA from 1 species